UGGGGAAUCUUCCGCAAUGGGCGCAAGCCUGACGGAGCAACGCCGCGUGAGUGAAGAAGGGUUUCGACUCGUAAAGCUCUGUUGUCGGGGACGAAUGUGGAGGUUGUGAAUAACAGCUUCCAAUGACGGUACCUGACGAGGAAGCCACGGCUAACUACGUGCCAGCAGCCGCGGUAAUACGUAGGUGGCGAGCGUUGUCCGGAAUUAUUGGGCGUAAAGGGAGCGCAGGCGGGAGGUCAAGUCUAUCUUAAAAGUGCGGGGCUCAACCCCGUGAGGGGAUGGAAACUGGUCUUCUUGAGUGCAGGAGAGGAAAGCGGAAUUCCUAGUGUAGCGGUGAAAUGCGUAGAUAUUAGGAGGAACACCAGUGGCGAAGGCGGCUUUCUGGACUGUAACUGACGCUGAGGCUCGAAAGCGUGGGGAGCGAACAGGAUUAGAUACCCUGGUAGUCCACGCCGUAAACGAUGAAUGCUAGGUGUAGGAGGUAUCGACCCCUCCUGUGCCGGAGCCAACGCAUUAAGUGCCCCGCCUGGGGAGUACGGCCGCAAGGCUA
rnacentral:rRNA from 1 species